rnacentral:rRNA from 1 species
UUUUACCUACGGGGCGCAGCAGUGGGGAAUAUUGCGCAAUGGGGGAAACCCUGACGCAGCAACGCCGCGUGCGGGAUGAAGGCUUUCGGGUUGUAAACCGCUUUCAGCAGGGAAGAUAAUGACGGUACCUGCAGAAGAAGCCCCGGCUAACUACGUGCCAGCAGCCGCGGUAAUACGUAGGGGGCAAGCGUUAUCCGGAUUCAUUGGGCGUACAGCGCGCGCAGGCGGGCC